CUUGGCCACCUUGUUCUUCAUCCAGUCUGUCUGCUUCUAGGUCUCACUGGGCUCUGCCUCCUGUGCCUACUGAGCUGAAACACAGUUGCUUUGGAUAAACUGGCUCAGUUCAGCAGGAACAGGAGUCUGGCCUUCUCCUGGAGACACCUG
ensembl:miRNA sha-mir-24-2 sha-mir-24-2